AUACAGUCAUUGAAUCCAACUAAAUCCUCUUCACUCGGCGACGGUUCACUGUGGCCUGCCUGGAGAUGUAGACAUUGCAGGGAGCUAGUCUGUCUGUCUGUCCUCCUAGGUGUGUCUCCAGAACAAUGUUUUCCCAUUCUGUGUUUGCACCUGGCAUGCUUCUACGAGACAGGUGCUCCUCCAUGUUUUUCCCCCCCUCUUUUUAUAUCGGUAUUUGCAGAGAGAUUAGGAGCCAUACUUUUGACUAAUACAUGGCAUUACUCAUAUCGGUGCACGCACUCAAACACAAAGGAAAACACACACGCAAGUGUGUACACCGGGCACGUUGGCACGCGCACAAACUAUCUAUCCAGUGUGUGUGUGUGUGUGUGUGUGUGUCUGUGUGUGUGUGUGUGUGUGUGUGUGUGUGUGUGUGUGUGUGUGUGUGUGUGUGUGUGUGUGUGUGUGUGUGUUGUUGUCAGGCGUCCUGCAGCCCCUCGCAGCUGUGGAGACGGCAGUGUGUCUGAGAGGUGUGUCGCCACAGGCAAAGUCCAGGGACAGGGUGACCACACAAUGUCCCACACCAAGGAUGGUUCCAGGUCACCAUCGUCAUGGAUCAGUGAUUCCAGCCCAUCAGGCAUCAUAUCCGGGUCCACCAGUUCCCAAUGCGAGUCCUGCUGUGGCCCCAGCCCAGACCAGGGGGUUCCAGUGAAGGAGGAGCCUGGUUGCCCUGAUCGGGGGGAGCGAGGCUGGCCUUCCACUGGGGGCAGGAGAAGGCCCGGGAUGCUGGAGUGCAUAAUGAGGGAGAAGGAGCGAAAAAGGGAGGAGAGAAAGACAAAGGUGCUAAACAUCUACUCCAGACUCCAGGACAGCGGGCCCCUCCAGCCCAGCCGCAACAGGGGCCGCUCCAGGUUUGAGGACUGUGAGUGUAUAAGUGGAUCCAUCCACCCUCACACAUUUAAAACCCAAAACUGCCAACCGACACAUACUGAUCUGCCCACUGCCUCUUACCGUAAGGGAGCAUGUUAG
rnacentral:lncRNA from 1 species